rnacentral:rRNA from 1 species
AUGCUUUUCGGCCACAUACAACCCGACUGGGGGCUUCCCAAGUUCAUGAAGAGGGCAGUCUUGGAAUCAUCACCGUACCUGGAGGAUGACCGCCUCGUGAUCAAGUGCGAGGUCACCAUCGUCAGGCAACCGCAGGUGGAGGAGACCGCGCCGGACUUCCAGGUCCAGGUGCCGCCCUCUGAUCUGUACGACAACUUGGGAAACUCUUAG